rnacentral:rRNA from 1 species
GCAAGUCGAACGGACCUUUCGGGGUCAGCGGCGGACGGGUGAGUAACGCGUGGGAACGUGCCUUCCGGUUCGGAAUAACCCUGGGAAACUAGGGCUAAUACCGGAUACGCCCUUAUGGGGAAAGGUUUACUGCCGGAAGAUCGGCCCGCGUCUGAUUAGCUAGUUGGUGGGGUAACGGCCUACCAAGGCGACGAUCAGUAGCUGGUCUGAGAGGAUGAUCAGCCACACUGGGACUGAGACACGGCCCAGACUCCUACGGGAGGCAGCAGUGGGGAAUAUUGGACAAUGGGCGCAAGCCUGAUCCAGCCAUGCCGCGUGAGUGAUGAAGGCCUUAGGGUUGUAAAGCUCUUUUAUCCGGGACGAUAAUGACGGUACCGGAGGAAUAAGCCCCGGCUAACUUCGUGCCAGCAGCCGCGGUAAUACG